rnacentral:rRNA from 1 species
AUUGAACGCUGGCGGCAGGCCUAACACAUGCAAGUCGAACGGUAACAGGAAGAAGCUUGCUUCUUUGCUGACGAGUGGCGGACGGGUGAGUAAUGUCUGGGAAACUGCCUGAUGGAGGGGGAUAACUACUGGAAACGGUAGCUAAUACCGCAUAACGUCACAAGACCAAAGAGGGGGACCUUCGGGCCUCUUGCCAUCGGAUGUGCCCAGAUGGGAUUAGCUAGUAGGUGGGGUAACGACUCACCUAGGCGACGAUCCCUAGCUGGUCUGAGAGGAUGACCAGCCACACUGGAACUGAGACACGGUCCAGACUCCUACGGGAGGCAGCAGUGGGGAAUAUUGCACAAUGGGCGCAAGCCUGAUGCAGCCAUGCCGCGUGUAUGAAGAAGGCCUUCGGGUUGUAAAGUACUUUCAGCGGGGAGGAAGGGAGUAAAGUUAAUACCUUUGCUCAUUGACGUUACCCGCAGAAGAAGCACCGGCUAACUCCGUG